UAUGGGGGGGGCAAGCGUUGUUCGGAAUUACUGGGCGUAAAGGGCUCGUAGGUUGCCAACUAAGUCAGACGUGAAAUCCCUCAGCUUAACUGGGGAACUGCGUCUGAUACUGGAUGGCUUGAGUUUGGGAGAGGGAUGCGGAAUUCCAGGUGUAGCGGUGAAAUGCGUAGAUAUCUGGAGGAACACCGGUGGCGAAGGCGGCAUCCUGGACCAACACUGACACUGAGGAGCGAAAGCCAGGGGAGCAAACGGG
rnacentral:rRNA from 1 species